AGCAACAAAUGCCCUGCUUCCAGGAAAAGCCUCUAAGCCUCAGGUAACAUCAGAUCGUACCCGAAACCGACACAGGUGGUCAGGUAGAGAAUACCAAGGCGCUUGAGAGAACCCGGGUGAAGGAACUAGGCAAAAUGGUGCCGUAACUUCGGGAGAAGGCACGCUGACACGUAGGUGAAGCGGUUUACCCGUGGAGCUGAAGUCAGUCGAAGAUACCAGCUGGCUGCAACUGUUUAUUAAAAACACAGCACUGUGCAAACACGAAAGUGGACGUAUACGGUGUGACGCCUGCCCGGUGCCGGAAGGUUAAUUGAUGGGGUCAGCGCAAGCGAAGCUCCUGAUCGAAGCCCCGGUAAACGGCGGCCGUAACUAUAACGGUCCUAAGGUAGCGAAAUUCCUUGUCGGGUAAGUUCCGACCUGCACGAAUGGCGUAAUGAUGGCCAGGCUGUCUCCACCCGGGACUCAGUGAAAUUGAACUCGCUGUGAAGAUGCAGUGUACCCGCGGCAAGACGGAAAGACCCCGUGAACCUUUACUAUAGCUUGACACUGAACACUGGUCCUUGAUGUGCAGGAUAGGUGGGAGGCUUUGAAGUGUGGACGCCAGUCUGCAUGGAGCCGUCCUUGAAAUACCACCCUUUAAUGGCUGGUGUUCUAACGUAGACCCGUGAACCGGGUUGCGGACAGUGUCUGGUGGGUAGUUUGACUGGGGCGGUCUCCUCCUAAAGCGUAACGGAGGAGCACGAAGGUUGGCUAAUCCUGGUCGGACAUCAGGAGGUUAGUGCAAUGGCAUAAGCCAGCUUGACUGCGAGCGUGACGGCGCGAGCAGGUGCGAAAGCAGGUCAUAGUGAUCCGGUGGUUCUGAAUGGAAGGGCCAUCGCUCAACGGAUAAAAGGUACUCCGGGGAUAACAGGCUGAUACCGCCCAAGAGUUCAUAUCGACGGCGGUGUUUGGCACCUCGAUGUCGGCUCAUCACAUCCUGGGGCUGAAGUAGGUCCCAAGGGUAUGGCUGUUCGCCAUUUAAAGUGGUACGCGAGCUGGGUUUAGAACGUCGUGAGACAGUUCGGUCCCUAUCUGCCGUGGGCGCUGGAGAACUGAGGGGGGCUGCUCCUAGUACGAGAGGACCGGAGUGGACGCAUCACUGGUGUUCGGGUUGUCAUGCCAAUGGCACUGCCCGGUAGCUAAAUGCGGAAGAGAUAAGUGCUGAAAGCAUCUAAGCACGAAACUUGCCCCGAGAUGAGUUCUCCCUGAGACUACAAGUCUCCUGAAGGAACGUUGAAGACGACGACGUUGAUAGGCCGGGUGUGUAAGCGCAGCGAUGCGUUGAGCUAACCGGUACUAAUGAACCGUGAGGCUUAACCUUACAACGCCGAAG
rnacentral:rRNA from 1 species